rnacentral:tRNA from 1 species
GCCAGGUUAGCCAAGUGGAACGGCGACCGCCUCGAGAGCGGUUAUGCGCAAGCAUGCAGGGGUUCGAAUCCCUUACCUGGCG